rnacentral:ncRNA from 2 species
GCACAUGUGGUUCGCAAUCCAUCCCACAAUAAAAAACUAGGAGGAC